AUAAGCAUACUAAGGGCACACGGUGGAUGCCUAGGCAUACAGAGGCGAAGAAGGACGUGUAAAGCUGCGAUAAGCUGCGGGGAGCUGCAUAAGAGCAAUGAUCCGUGGAUUUCCGAAUGGGGCAACCCAUCCCGGUUUACCGGGAUACUCCUACGGGAGAGCGUACGGGGGGAACUGAAACAUCUAAGUACCCCCAGGAAAAGAAAACAAUCAAGUGAUUUCCCAAGUAGCGGCGAGCGAACGGGAAGCAGCCCAAACCGGCUUCCUACGGGGAGUCGGGGUAGUAGGACCUGCGUAAUUGAAGCAAGCUUAAGUCGAAACUGCCUGGAAAGCAGUCCCACAGAAGGUGAAAGGCCUGUAGGCGUACGGCGAGUGGUGAGGCGGGUAUCCUGAGUAGCGCGGGGCCGGUGAAACCCUGCGUGAACCAGCCGGCACCAUCCGGUAAGGCUAAAUACAUCUGUAUGACCGAUAGUGAACCAGUACCGUGAGGGAAAGGUGAAAAGAACGCCGAGAAGGCGAGUGAAAUAGUACCUGAAACCGUGUGCUUACAAGCGGUCGGAGCUCCAUUUAUGGAGUGACGGCGUGCCUUUUGUAUAAUGAGCCUACGAGUUGCUCCUGUUGUGCGAGGUUAAGCCCCUAAGGGGUGGAGCCGCAGCGAAAGCGAGUCUGAAACGGGCGUGCAGUACAGCGGGGCAGACGCGAAACCAAGUGAGCUAUCCAUGGUCAGGGUGAAGUGGGGGUAAAACCCCAUGGAGGCCCGAACCGCCAGACGUUGAAAAGUCUUCGGAUGAACUGUGGAUAGGGGUGAAAGGCCAAUCAAACUUGGAAAUAGCUCGUACUCCCUGAAAUAUAUUUAGGUAUAGCGUCUGGUUUUGUNNNNNNNNNNNNNNNNNNNNNNNNNNNNNNNNNNNNNNNNNNNNNNNNNNNNNNNNNNNNNNNNNNNNNNNNNNNNNNNNNNNNNNAACCCAGACCACCAGCUAAGGCCCCCAAAUGUAUGUUAAGUUGAACAAAGAAAGUUGGGUUGCCCAGACAACUAGGAGGUUGGCUUAGAAGCAGCCAUUCCUUUAAAGAGUGCGUAAUAGCUCACUAGUUAAGCGGCCCGGCGUCGAUAAUACACGGGCAUUAAACAUACUGCCGAAGCUGUGGACUCUAAUAGAGUGGUAAGGGAGCAUUCCAGGGGCGCAGAAGCGGAGUCGUGAGACUCCGUGGAGCCCCUGGAAGCGAAACUGUAGGCAUGAGUAACGAUAAGACGGGUGAGAAACCCGUCCACCAAAAACCCAAGGGUUCCUGAUCAACGCUAAUCGGAUCAGGGUUAGUCGAGACCUAAGGUGUAGCCGAAAGGCGAAGCCGAUGGCAAACCGGUUAAAUAUUCCGGUACCGAUUGUAGCGCCAGGCUAAGGCGUGACGCAGAAGUGACACUCCCGCGUGCUGACGAAUGCACGUUAAAGGGCGUAGGCCGGUGAGCAGGCAAAUCCGCUCGCCGUUAAGGCUGAACCCCGACAGUACCCAGAGGCUGCGGCCAACGGGAUAGUGGAGGUAAUCCUGCUGCCGAGAAAAGCGUCGUAGUUUGUUACAAUCGCUCGUACCCCAAACCGACACAGGUGGGUGAGGAGAGUAUCCUAAGGUGCUCGAGUAAUUCAUGGCUAAGGAACUAGGCAAAUUCGAUCCGUAACUUCGGGAGAAGGAUCCCCCCGGGCGCUUCGGCGUUUGGGGGCGCAGUGAAAAGGCCCAAACGACUGUUUACCAAAAACACAUGUCUCUGCUAAGCCGCAAGGCGAUGUAUAGGGACUGACACCUGCCCGGUGCUGGAAGGUUAAAGAAGGGGGUUAGCUUCGGCGAAGCCCUU
rnacentral:rRNA from 1 species